GGAAGCCACAAAAAUCUCAAAAAAUUAGAAAAAAUAGCAAAUAGGUCCCCGAGAAAGCUAAACGAACAGAAUACAAAGAAAAAGGAUGGGAGAACGUCAGGAACUUCCAGAACUGACCUAGAUUGAUCCCAGGAGUGCAGGGAGAUGGCGAGGAUGAUGGAGGUCGACCCGAAGGAUGCUUAAGGCCGGGAAGGAUGCUAGAAGAAGCUGGAGCUCUCGGGGA
rnacentral:lncRNA from 1 species